UACAGACGAGGGGGUGACGGUCAGGCCUUUUGUCAAGGACUUAUUUCUUGUUCGAAAAGGUGUGCGAGGACACUACUGUAGGACUACAUCGAGGUGUACAGGUACAGACAGGAGAACUUGUGACGAUAAAAGACAGUCUAAGGUUCACCUGCAGAGACGAAAAUGGCUGUUGCAAAAGAUUCCGAAAUAGGAACCUAUCUGUCUGGAGAAACUCGACUGAUUCUCAUCGGAAGGACUGGAGCUGGUAAAAGUUCCACUGGGAAUACAAUCAUCGGGGAGACAAAUUUCAGCGUCAAGUGUUCAGCCUCUUCUGAAACAAAAUCAUGUGAACACAUCAUGUUUGAGAGAUUCAACAGGGACAUUUUACUGGUUGAUUGCCCCGGUUUCUUUCCUACUGGAUAUAGUCAGAAAGAUAUCAAGGAAGAGCUGAGGAAAUGUAUCGCUUUAUCCUCUCCUGGUGUGCACGCAAUUCUGUUUGUGAUUGGUAUUGGGAGGUUUACCGAAGAAGAGAGUAAUUCCGUGAAAAAAUUUCUGAGUUUUUUGGCUCUGAGUCACAACGUCACGUCAUUGUCAUAUUCACAAGGAAAGAGGAUCUUGAACAGAGUCUGAAAUCUUUCAUUGACACAAACCUCCAACUGAGGGGUUUCAUUAACAAGACCGGUGAAACCGAUGAAAACUACCUUGCUGUCAACAACAAAUCGACUGACGACAAUGAAGAGUUUGUCCGAGACUAACUGGCUCUGGUAGAUACGAUUACACCGAAUGGACGUUACUUCACAAAUGAUAUGUAUCAGGAAGCUGAGCUACAAAUGAAGAAAAUUGAGAAAGAAGAGUUGAAUAAAUGGUUGCUCCAUAAUCAAAGAUCUGAUGCGGAGUAUAUCGCUAAUGGUGUGAUGGAAUACAAGCAGACGCUUGCAGAUAGCUCCGAGUCAAAAGAGGAAUCACUGUCAAGGAAGCGACAGGUGCUUCUUGAUAAGCGUCGCAAGUUUCAUGAAAAGGACGCGAGAAAAUUCGCCAGGAAUCAUUAUGAUGGUUCUAACCGACUCUGGACAUUGUUGACCAAGGCAGUUGAGGCUGCUCUCUGGGCAGCUUCCGGUAGUUGGUCAUACGGAAUGGCGUUCCUGGAUAAGACAUUAAGAGUUCUCAGGUUAAAGUGAAACUGCUAAACUAUAUGAUAUGUGUGUGUUGUAUAAAGACACAGCAUUCCAGUUGUAUAACUAUAACAGCAACAUUUAAAAGUACUGUCAGAAAUGCUAGAAUAGUGCCUUUGGCCUGUCUAAAAAGGAUAUAAUUUUUUCACGAACAUGUUAUUGAAAUAUCGAGUAACAACAGAUCGCCCUACCUGUGGUUUGAAG